AUUGAACGCUGGCGGCAGGCCUAACACAUGCAAGUCGAGCGGGGUUUUCGGACCUAGCGGCGGACGGGUGAGUAAUGCGUAGGAAGCUACCCGACAGAGGGGGAUACCAGUUGGAAACGACUGUUAAUACCGCAUAAUGUCUACGGACCAAAGUGUGGGACCUUCGGGCCACAUGCUGUCGGAUGCGCCUACGUGGGAUUAGCUAGUUGGUGAGGUAAUGGCUCACCAAGGCGACGAUCCCUAGCUGGUUUGAGAGGAUGAUCAGCCACACUGGAACUGAGACACGGUCCAGACUCCUACGGGAGGCAGCAGUGGGGAAUAUUGGACAAUGGGCGCAAGCCUGAUCCAGCCAUGCCGCGUGUGUGAAGAAGGUCUUCGGAUUGUAAAGCACUUUAAGUUGGGAGGAAGGGUAGUAACCUAAUACGUUGCUACUUUGACGUUACCGACAGAAUAAGCACCGGCUAACUUCGUGCCAGCAGCCGCGGUAAAGUGACUACUGC
rnacentral:rRNA from 1 species